rnacentral:rRNA from 1 species
GUUGUAUGGUUAAGUGACUAAGCGUACAUGGUGGAUGCCUUGGCAGUCAGAGGCGAUGAAGGACGUACUAACCUGCGAUAAGCCGUGAGCAGUCGGUAAGAGACAUUACGACUCACGGAUUUCCGAAUGGGGAAACCCACUUAGCAUAAGCUAGGUAUCGCUGCGUGAAUACAUAGCGUAGCGAGGCGAACCGGGAGAACUGAAACAUCUAAGUACCCCGAGGAAAAGAAAUCAACCGAGAUUCCCUCAGUAGCGGCGAGCGAACGGGGAUUAGCCCUUAAGCAUCUUGGAAGUUAGUGGAACGGUCCUGGAAAGGCCGGCGAUACAGGGUGAUAGCCCCGUACACGAAAACAACCUUGAUGUGAAAUCGAGUAGGGCGGGACACGUGACAUCCUGUCUGAAUAUGGGGGGACCAUCCUCCAAGGCUAAAUACUCCUGACUGACCGAUAGUGAACCAGUACCGUGAGGGAAAGGCGAAAAGAACCCCUGUGAGGGGAGUGAAAUAGAACCUGAAACCGUGUACGUACAAGCAGUGGGAGCCCUUCGGGGUGACUGCGUACCUUUUGUAUAAUGGGUCAGCGACUUACAUUUUGUAGCGAGGUUAACCGUAUAGGGGAGCCGUAGGGAAACCGAGUCUUAACUGGGCGUCUAGUUGCAAGGUGUAGACCCGAAACCGGGUGAUCUAGCCAUGGGCAGGUUGAAGGUUGAGUAACAUCAACUGGAGGACCGAACCCACUAACGUUGCAAAGUUAGGGGAUGACCUGUGGCUGGGGGUGAAAGGCCAAUCAAACUCGGAGAUAGCUGGUUCUCCCCGAAAGCUAUUUAGGUAGCGCCUCGGACGAAUACUACUGGGGGUAGAGCACUGUUUGGGCUAGGGGGUCAUCCCGACUUACCAACCCCAUGCAAACUCCGAAUACCAGUAAGUAAUAUCCGGGAGACACACGGCGGGUGCUAACGUCCGUCGUGAAGAGGGAAACAACCCAGACCGCCGGCUAAGGUCCCAAAGUUCUGGUUAAGUGGGAAACGAUGUGGGAAGGCUCAGACAGCUAGGAUGUUGGCUUAGAAGCAGCCAUCAUUUAAAGAAAGCGUAAUAGCUCACUAGUCGAGUCGGCCUGCGCGGAAGAUGUAACGGGGCUCAAACCAGGCACCGAAGCCGCGGAUUCACGCUAAGCGUGAGUGGUAGGGGAGCGUUCUGUAAGUCUGCGAAGGUGUGUCGAGAGGCAUGCUGGAGAUAUCAGAAGUGCGAAUGCUGACGUAAGUAACGAUAAAGGGGGUGAAAAGCCUCCUCGCCGGAAGACCAAGGGUUCCUGUCCAACGUUAAUCGGGGCAGGGUGAGUCGACCCCUAAGGCGAGGCCGAAAGGCGUAGUCGAUGGGAAGCAGGUUAAUAUUCCUGCACGACUUGUAAUUGCGAUGGGGGGACGGAGAAGGCUAGGUGGGCCAGGCGACGGUUGUCCUGGUGAAAGUGCGUAGGUGGUGUUUCUAGGCAAAUCCGGAGACACAACACUGAGACACGAGACGAACACAUUACAGACCGGAAGCCAUUGAUGCCCUGCUUCCAGGAAAAGCCUCUAAGCUUCAGAUUACAAGUCAUCGUACCCCAAACCGACACAGGUGGUCGGGUAGAGAAUACCAAGGCGCUUGAGAGAACUCGGGUGAAGGAACUAGGCAAAAUAGAACCGUAACUUCGGGAGAAGGUUCGCUCUUGACAGUGAAGUCCCUUGCGGAUGGAGCAGUUGGGAGUCGCAGUGACCAGAUGGCUGGGACUGUUUAUCAAAAACACAGCACUCUGCAAACACGAAAGUGGACGUAUAGGGUGUGACACCUGCCCGGUGCCGGAAGGUUAAUUGAUGGGGUUAGCGCAAGCGAAGCUCUUGAUCGAAGCCCCGGUAAACGGCGGCCGUAACUAUAACGGUCCUAAGGUAGCGAAAUUCCUUGUCGGGUAAGUUCCGACCUGCACGAAUGGUGUAACCAUGGCCAUGCUGUCUCCACCCGAGACUCAGUGAAAUCGAAUUCGCCGUGAAGAUGCGGUGUACCCGCGGCUAGACGGAAAGACCCCGUGAACCUUUACUACAGCUUGGCACUGAACAUUGAACCUACAUGUGUAGGAUAGGUGGGAGGCUUUGAAGGCGUGACGCCAGUUGCGCUGGAGCCGUCCUUGAAAUACCACCCUUGUAUGUUUGAUGUUCUAACGCAGGCCCCUGAAUCGGGGUCGCGGACAGUGCCUGGUGGGUAGUUUGACUGGGGCGGUCUCCUCCCAAAGAGUAACGGAGGAGCACGAAGGUUGGCUAAUCCUGGUCGGACAUCAGGAGGUUAGUGCAAUGGCAUAAGCCAGCUUAACUGCGAGACGGACAGGUCGAGCAGGUACGAAAGUAGGUCAUAGUGAUCCGGUGGUUCUGAAUGGAAGGGCCAUCGCUCAACGGAUAAAAGGUACUCCGGGGAUAACAGGCUGAUACCGCCCAAGAGUUCAUAUCGACGGCGGUGUUUGGCACCUCGAUGUCGGCUCAUCACAUCCUGGGGCUGAAGUCGGUCCCAAGGGUAUGGCUGUUCGCCAUUUAAAGUGGUACGCGAGCUGGGUUCAGAACGUCGUGAGACAGUUCGGUCCCUAUCUGCCGUGGGCGUUGGAUGAUUGAAGGGAGUUGCUCCUAGUACGAGAGGACCGGAGUGAACGAACCUCUGGUGUUCGGGUUGUCACGCCAGUGGCACUGCCCGGUAGCUAAGUUCGGAAUCGAUAACCGCUGAAAGCAUCUAAGCGGGAAGCGAGCCCUGAGAUGAGUCAUCCCUGACCCCUUGAGGGUCCUAAAGGGCCGUUGGAGACCACAACGUUGAUAGGUGGGGUGUGUAAGCGCGGCGACGUGUUGAGCUAACCCAUACUAAUUACCCGUGAGGCUUAACCAUACAACACCCAAGAAGUGUUCU